rnacentral:rRNA from 1 species
CCCUUAGAUGUCCUGGGCUGCACGCGCGCUACACUGAUGUGUCCAGGAAGCACCUAACCUCUUCCGAAAGGAACGGGUAACCUUUGCAAAGCACAUCGUGAUGGGGAUAGAUUAUUGCAAUUAUUAGUCUUGAACGAGGAAUUCCUAGUAAGCACAAGUCAUCAGCUUGUGUUGAUUACGUCCCUGCCCUUUGUACACACCGCCCGUCGCUCCUACCGAUUGAAUGUUCCGGUGAGCUCUUCGGACUGCGCGGUCUGCAGUUUCUGCGUUCCGUGCGGAAAGUUGCGCAAACCUUAACAUUUAGAGGAAGGAGAAGUCGUAACA